GUCCCUUUGGUGCAGUGGAAAGCGUCUAAGCACUUCUAAUCUAAAUGUCUUGGGUUCUAUCCUCACAAGGGAUG